GGGAAGUUGGCUCAGUGGUAGAGUGCUUGCCUUGCAUGCAUGAGGGUCAAUUCCUA
rnacentral:tRNA from 1 species